rnacentral:tRNA from 2 species
AGGCGAGUAGCUCAAUUGGUAGAGUACCGGUCUCCAAAACCGGGGGUUGCGGGUUCGAAGCCCUCCUCGCCUGCCA